UACGUAGGGUGCAAGCGUUGUCCGGAAUUACUGGGCGUAAAGAGCUCGUAGGCGGUUUGUCGCGUCGUCUGUGAAAUCCCGCAGCUCAACUGCGGGCUUGCAGGCGAUACGGGCAGACUUGAGUACUGCAGGGGAGACUGGAAUUCCUGGUGUAGCGGUGAAAUGCGCAGAUAUCAGGAGGAACACCGGUGGCGAAGGCGGGUCUCUGGGCAGUAACUGACGCUGAGGAGCGAAAGCGUGGGUAGCGAACAGG
rnacentral:rRNA from 1 species